rnacentral:lncRNA from 1 species
GCCAGAUGUGGCCAAAUCCCUACAGCCAAGAGGCACAGCUCUCCAUGGAGAGCACCUGCUGCUGUUCAUGUGUUCAUGUAUUGCUUCCCUAACUCAUAGCAGGAAUGGUUUCUUUGUUAUAUAUCACAACUCACGGCCAAUUAUUUUGCAGCCUGUUAAGUUUAAUGGAAAACUUAAGCUGCCUGUAUGGGAAACUGGUAAUCAUAGCUUGAACCUCUGAUUAAUCAAAGACAAGUGUCAGGUCAGCUGUGGGAGCACAGGUGAGAGUCAUUUAGCUCCUCUUAGACCUCAUUUAAGGGCUGACCCCCACUAAGGCAGCAUCUCUUGGAGGUUGCUUCAUGGUGGAGAUUGCCUCAGCAUUUCCCAGUGAAGGCAUCCAUAGUGGUGAGUUUUCCUUAUAAAUAACCUUUUAAGUAUCUGUUAUUAUCUUUAUACCAUUCCAUCUUAUACUGCUAUCGGCUGCAGCUUCUGCUCUUCCAUCCCCACCUCUACCUUCCCCUGAUGUGUCUCCUGUGAUCCCUCUAUCAGGAGAUGAGUGAUUUCCAUGCAAAUCUCAUUAGAUGCCUUCAUCCCCUACAGUCUACAGUGUAAUUGACUUUCUGGGACCUUGACUGCAUCGUGGCAUUCCCCAGCUGGCCUUCUAUUCAGCAUUGCCCUGGAAAUGAAAGCAAAGAGGAAUGAUUUACAAGGUUUUCAGGAUGAAUCUGGAAAAACUCAGCAAACCAGAACUACUGACGCUGUUUAGCAUUCUGGAGGGAGAGUUGGAAGCAAGGGAUCUUGUCAUAGAAGCCUUAAAGGUAUGUUGUAAGCACCCUGAUAAGGGACAAAUGGCAACAGCGCUACCGGUUUAGGAUCCUAUCUUAGUACCAGCAGUGAUAUAGAUGGUGUAUAUUGCUCUGUGUCUCUAUAUUUGCUGCACGAGGUGUUUCAGUGUUGAACUGCAGUGCUGUGUGUGUGCUUUCAUCAGCUCUGAUAAAGAGUUCUGCUGUCCUGAGAAAAGAAGAAGGUCUGUUAGACUUCCUCUGCUGGUUGCGUUCUGACUUAGGAGGGAAGGAGUCCUAAUAAAGCAGAACAUCCCUCCA